rnacentral:rRNA from 1 species
UACGUAGGUGGCAAGCGUUGUCCGGAUUUACUGGGCGUAAAGAGCGCGCAGGCGGUCAGAUAAGUCGAAUGUGAAAGCCCCCGGCUCAACUGGGGAGGGUCAUUCGAUACUGUUCGACUCGAAGGCAGGAGAGGGAAGCGGAAUUCCCGGUGUAGUGGUGAAAUGCGUAGAUAUCGGGAGGAACACCAGUGGCGAAGGCGGCUUCCUGGCCUGUUCUUGACGCUGAGGCGCGAAAUCUAGGGGAGCAAACGGG